rnacentral:rRNA from 1 species
AGGGCACCACCAGGAGUGGAGCCUGCGGCUUAAUUUGACUCAACACGGGAAAUCUCACCAGGCCCGGACACUGGAAGGAUUGACAGAUUGAGAGCUCUUUCUCGAUUCGGUGGGUGGUGGUGCAUGGCCGUUCUUAGUUGGUGGAGUGAUUUGUCUGGUUAAUUCCGAUAACGAACGAGACUCUGUCCUGCUAAAUAGUUCCCGCGUCCUUUGUUGCGCGGGAAAUUCUUCUUAGAGGGACUGGCGGCGUCUAGCCGCACGAGAUUGAACAAUAACAGGUCUGUGAUGCCCUUAGAUGUUCUGGGCCGCACGCGCGCUACACUGAAGGGAUCAGCGUGUCUUCCCUUCCCGAGAGGGACGGGUAACCCGCUGAACCCCCUUCGUGGUAGGGAUCGGGGCUUGCAAUUAUUCCCCGUGAACCAGGAAUUCCCAGUAAGCGCAAGUCAUAAGCUUGCGUUGAUUACGUCCCUGCCCUUUGUACACACCGCCCGUCGCUACUACCGAUUGAACGUUUUAGUG